rnacentral:lncRNA from 1 species
CUGGGGGGACAUUUCCAGGGAAGAGGUGAAUGAGAGGCUCCGAGACACACCUGAUGGUACCUUCUUAGUCCGAGAUGCAUCCAGCAAGAUCCAAGGAGAGUACACGCUCACCCUCAGGAAAGGCGGGAACAACAAGCUAAUCAAAGUCUUCCACCGGGACGGUCACUAUGGCUUCUCAGAGCCCCUUACCUUCUGCUCCGUGGUAGAGCUCAUCUCCCACUACCGACAUGAGUCACUGGCCCAGUACAACGCCAAGCUGGACACGCGCCUUCUCUACCCUGUGUCCAAGUACCAGCAAGUGUGUUCUGUGCUGGGGUUACAUGGGCCUUGGCUGGGCCUGGGUUUGGGAGGGAAAGCACUAAUGGUGUGUUGUGGGUCCAGGACCAGGUGGUGAAGGAGGACAGUGUAGAGGCUGUGGGUGCCCAGCUCAAGGUCUACCACCAGCAGUACCAGGACAAGAGCCGCGAGUAUGACCAGCUCUAUGAGGAAUACACACGAACCUCCCAGGAGCUUCAGAUGAAGCGCACAGCCAUAGAGGCCUUCAACGAGACCAUCAAGAUCUUCGAAGAACAGGGCCAGACACAGGAAAAGUGCAGCAAGGAGUAUUUGGAGCGCUUCCGGCGAGAGGGCAAUGAGAAGGAGAUGCAGAGGAUCCUGCUGAACUCGGAGCGACUCAAGUCUCGAAUCGCGGAGAUACAUGAAAGCCGCACGAAGCUGGAGCAGGAUCUGCGGGCGCAGGCCUCGGACAAUCGAGAGAUUGACAAGCGCAUGAACAGCCUCAAGCCUGAUCUCAUGCAGCUGCGCAAGAUCAGGGACCAGUACCUCGUGUGGCUCACCCAGAAAGGUGCCCGACAGAGGAAGAUCAACGAGUGGCUGGGAAUCAAGAAUGAGACUGAGGAGUGAGUGAUGUGCUGCAAGGGGCAAAAGACUUCAUAAAAGGGACGGGCGCUUGCAUUGGUGGUGGAGAAUGAGAGUUCGCCCAGCAGUGGCUUCUUUCACCCACAGCCAGUAUUCACUGAUGGAGGAUGAGGACGCCCUCCCCCACCAUGAGGAGCGCACGUGGUACGUGGGCAAGAUCAACCGCACACAGGCGGAGGAGAUGCUGAGUGGCAAACGAGACGGGACCUUCCUCAUCCGGGAGAGCAGCCAGCGGGGCUGUUACGCAUGCUCUGUGGUGGUGGAUGGCGACACGAAGCACUGUGUCAUCUACCGCACAGCCACUGGCUUUGGCUUCGCAGAGCCCUAUAACCUGUACGG